CGGGUGAGUAAUAUAUCGGAACGUAUCCAAUAAUGGGGGAUAACUAGUCGAAAGAUUAGCUAAUACCGCAUACGCCCUGAGGGGGAAAGCUGGGGAUCUUCGGACCUAGCGUUAAUGGAGCGGCCGAUAUCUGAUUAGCUAGUAGGUGAGGUAAGAGCUCACCUAGGCGACGAUCAGUGGCUGGUCUGAGAGGACGACCAGCCACACUGGAACUGAGACGCGGUCCAG
rnacentral:rRNA from 1 species